CCUACGUGAGGCAGCAGUGGGGGAUUUUGCACAAUGGGGGAAACCCUGAUGCAGCGACGCCGCGUGAGUGACGAAGUAUUUCGGUAUGUAAAGCUCUAUCAGCCGGGCAGAAAAUGACAGUACCUGACCACGAAGCCCCGGCUAACUACGUGCCAGCAGCCGCGGUAAUACGUAGGGGGCAAGCGUUAUCCGGAUUGACUGGGUGUAAAGGGCGCGUAGACGGCAGCACAAGUCUGGAGUGAAAUCCCGGGGCGUAACCCCGGAACUGCUGUGGAAACUGUGCGGCUGGAGUGCAGGAGGGGUAAGCGGAAUUCCUAGGGUAGCGGUGAAAUGCUUAGAUAUUAGGAGGAACACCGGUGGCGAAGGCGGCUUACUGGACUGUAACUGACGUGGAGGCUCGAAAGCGUGGGGAGCAAACAGGAUUAGAUACCCGGGUAGUC
rnacentral:rRNA from 1 species